AAACAGCCCAUCAGAGCGCUGUGAGCAAGGAAACAACUGAAACUGAAGAGUCUGCAAGGUGUACCUUCUGCGGUGCUCCUGAAAAACCAAUCCCAACAGUAGCAGAUCUGAAGGAAAAACCACAGGAAAAUGUGAGUCUACUCAUACUGCGUUGGGACGUUGCCAUGUAAGCAGGUUCUGCCCAGGAUCCACAUCACCCUUGAUGUGUGCUGCACCCCACAGCUCUUUUGCUGCAGGAGCUAUAAGAAGGUAUUCAGCGCUGCCAUCCAAG
rnacentral:lncRNA from 1 species